rnacentral:rRNA from 1 species
ACAAGGAAUUUUGCGCAAUGGGCGAAAGCCUGAAGCAGCGACGCCGCGUGGGGGAUGAAGAUCUUCGGGCNUGUAAACCCCUUUUCCCGGGGAAGAACCCUGACGGUACUCGGGGAAUAAGUCUCGGCUAAUUACGUG